AGGUUUUUCGUGAUUCAAGGGUCUUUGUCGGGUUAAAUUAUCAGGUAUUUUUGAUGGAUGGGUUCGAGUUACGAGUCAGGCGGGAAACCGAGUUCGGGUUCUGGUACGGGUUGGUCGGCGAAUUUUGUUGGGUCGAUUUGGCGGGUGUUAUCGUUGUUAAUUGUUGUUAAAGUUGUUAUGUGUUGAUGUAUUGUUGAAAGUGUAUGUUGGAUUGGAGUUGUUGUCGUGUAUUAGACGUUAUUGGAUAAGGAAAGGGGAUGUGGGCCAGGUCAUGGCGAUUUGUUGGGCCUAGGUCUGUGGUUUAAUUGUUGUUGUGGUUGUUAUUAUUGAGUAUUGUUGGGCUGCUAAUGGAUGCUGGGUUGAGGGAUUUAGGCCGGCUGGUGAGUAAUAUUAUUUUGGUGCCAAGUGUGUUAUUGGUGGAGUGGGCUGAUGGAUAGAUUAAGUUAUUUUGGA
rnacentral:lncRNA from 1 species